CAAGUAUUGAUAUAUUUGAAGCAUUUGAUGAGUGAUUUCUUCUGAAAAAUGGUGGGAGCUUAAUCUACUAUGGCCCAUUAGGUCAAGAUUCCUGUAAAGUUGUAGAGUAUUUUGAGAGUGUUCCUGGAGUGCCCAAGAUUAAAGACAAUUGUAAUCCAACA